rnacentral:rRNA from 1 species
GACGAACGCUGGCGGCGUGCUUAACACAUGCAAGUCGAGCGGAAAGGCCACUUCGGUGGUACUCGAGCGGCGAACGGGUGAGUAACACGUGAGUAAUCUGCCCCUGGCUUUGGGAUAGUCACCGGAAACGGUGAUUAAUACCGGAUAUGACCACUUCACGCAUGCGUUGUGGUGGAAAGUUUUUCGGCCAGGGAUGUGCUCGCGGCCUAUCAGCUUGAUGGUGAGGUAAUGGCUCACCAUGGCUUCGACGGGUAGCCGGCCUGAGAGGGUGACCGGUCACACUGGGACUGAGACACGGCCCAGACUCCUACGGGAGGCAGCAGUGGGGAAUAUUGGACAAUGGGCGGAAGCCUGAUCCAGCAACGCCGCGUGAGGGAUGACGGCCUUCGGGUUGUAAACCUCUUUCAGUACCGACGAAGCGUAAGUGACGGUAGGUACAGAAGAAGCACCGGCCAACUACGUGCCAGCAGCCGCCGUAACAC